CUGUGCGUGGUCUGUCUCUCUCAAUCGCGGUUACAUACCCGUGUCUAGAACAAUGCUUGGCACAAAGUGGGCUCAGUGAAUAAAUAUUGGUGGUGGUUGUUGCCAAGGGGAUCGGGAAGGCUUUCCAGAGGAGAAUGGGGCCUUGACGGCUGCAUAGGAGUUUGCAGUGGAAGAAGAAGGGGUGAGAACGUGGCAGGUGGAGAAAACAGCGUAUGCAAAGGCAUAGCAGGGUUCGAGAAGGAGAGAUCUCAGCACAGUAGAUAGAGAAACACUUCAGACCCGAGCUGGUCUCUCAAGCUGGAAUCUUCACCAUCCGGGCUGAAAUGGGCCUCCCCUGCCCACAUCCAGCCAGAAGCCAGAGAAAAGAAGUCCCCUGCUGCGGCCCAUAGAUGUGAGGAGAGAAAAUGGUGGGGAGUGGAUCUGCAGAGGUGAACCUAAAGCAUUCAACCCAGAAAGCAUGCUUCUAGGGCCAGCCUGACUCGGCAGCUUCCUUCAGGAGCCAGCUCUGCAGUAUUCUUCCAAGAGUCCUUGCUGGAGGCGCUGCCUCCAGCCUUCCAACAGCUUGAGAAUCACACAGCUUCCUAUGUUAGAUUCCUUUCUCCUCCAAACAACUGAAGAGACUCUAAUCAUCGGCAACUGAAUCCCAAUUAACUUCGGAUUUGUUACCAGAAACAAUUGCAGGCAACACGACCUCCAGGAUGGGAACUGGGAUUGGUUACUUGUUCUGGUUGAUUUAAAGGCAGUGGGGACCUAGUAACUGUUAGAGAAUGGAGUUCUAAUAGAUCGUAGCCUGUGAUGGCAAAAUAAUUACCUGUCAUCACUCAGAACGAAGUACCUAUUAAAUUGUGGCUUUGGCAGAGUUGUGGCUUCCAUACGCAAUACGAGCACAGGUUAUCUAAGGACUGUGGGGUGAGCUUGUUAUCAUCACACCAAAGAGUUUAAAGCAAGAAAAGGACAGUCCCAGGGCUUUACAUUCUCAGCUCAAGGUAUGUGCAGAAUACAGGGAGUUCUCUGAUAGCCCUCAAAGCUAUCUCUCAUCUCUUGGGGCUGCAGGGCUGAUGUAAGAAUCAGAUGCGAAAUCUAAUCCUGUAUGGUGUGGAGUUACAACAGACUAAAUCCACAACUCACAAAGCCUCUUGUGUGUAGAGCAUUGUUUAGGGGAAGAGAGGGACUCUAAGAAUUGGAAGAGUAACAUGGAGAUAAGUCCAAGCACCCCCAAACCCCAAUUAAGAGAAAGGCAUGGAUAGAAGGGAAUUAUUCCAGCCUUUUUUUUUUUCAGAGACACGGUGUGAAAUAUACCUGUGCAAAUAUGCCAAACACUACUGAACUGUAUACUUAAAAAUAGUUAAGACAGUACAUUUUAUGUUACGUGUAUUUUUAACCACAACUAAAAUUUUUAAAAAUUAAUAAAAAAUAAAUAAAUUGCAGGGAUCACAUCACUUUAGGGAUAUCUCUAAAUACUUCAGAAUGUUUCUCCUAAAAACAUUCUCCUGCAUAACACAGUACCAUUAUGAUACCUAAGAAAAUUAGCAUUGAUAGAAGGUUUUCUAAUAUCUCAUCCACAUUCAAACUUCACCAAGGCUUCAAAAAAUGUCUAUUACAGCUGUAUUUUUUUUAAUCCAAGAUCCAUUCAGGCAUCACACAGCACAUGUGAUUGCAUUUGGUUUUCAUGUCUCUUUAGAGCCCUGUAAUCUAGAACAAUCUUUCACGACACUAACAUUUUUUAAACAUCCAGGUCAGUUGUCCUGUAGAAUCUAUCACUUCUGUCAUUUCCUGGUCUGCUUCUGUGGACUGAUUUUUCUCCCGAUUGUGGGUCACAGUUUCCUGCUUCUUUAUAAUAAUGUUUUAUUGAAUGCUAGACAUUAAAUUUUUAUGUCGUCGCGUGCUGAAUUUUGUUGCAUUUCUUUAAGAAGUGUUGGAAUUUUUCUGGCAGAAAUAUUCUUUUGAUGUCUGUUUUUAAUAAGCGUAAUCUCUGCAAGCUCUGAUCUUUGUCUCCUUAAAUCAGUGAGACCUGGCUCUGUCUGGGUCCCCCUCACUACAGCACAGUCCAGGAAUUAUGUCCAGGCAGAAAGCCAAGACCAGGGUAGGGCUCACCUCACUUGCCACCCUUUUCUUGGGGAUCACAGAUCUGACUCGCCUCUUAACAUUUUACUUUUAUAUAGUUUCAAACUCACAGAAAAGCUGCAGGAAAGUACAAAGAGUUCCUAUGUGUAUUAGUCCAUUUCCAUGCUGCUAAAACAGACAUACCCAAGACUGGGUAAUUUAUAAAGAAAGACAGUUUAAUGGACUCACAGUUCCACCAUGGCUGGGAAGGCCUCACAGUCAUGGUGGAAGGUGAAGGGGGAG
rnacentral:lncRNA from 1 species